UAGCCGUAGGUGAACCUGCGGCUGGAUCAUUAUCGAGCUAAACAGAAACACUGUUUCUUCGUGGCGGACCUUCAAAUACGGUGCAUUCGUUUGAUGCAUGUCUGUAUGCCACAGUGACCAACGGCCCAAGCUGGUGUCUGGCCUUUGCUGAGCGACUGUUGCACAAGCCGUGGUCGUGUUGAAGCAUCGGCGAUGCGCAUACGUCCUGCUAGUUCAGUGUAGCGGAUGCGAAGACUCAAUGAGAGGCAGUCCCGUUCUCCGCCAGCAAUCUUUUUUUCAAUGAAAAUUUUCUACACGGCUUUGGCCAAUAACAAACAUAUCAGUCUUACCGGUGGAUCACUCGGUUCGU
rnacentral:misc_RNA from 1 species